AACUAAAGCUUUAUUUUCAAUUUUUGGUUGAGGUAGAUUUGUAUGCUGGUAGUCAACCCAAGUAAAUAAGCAUCAGACUGGCACUGGCUUCAAUAUUCAUUUUGGUGGUAUCAUGAGCAUAUUUCAGGCAUGAGAAGCUGAUGCAAUCAACGAUGUCACGAACAGGGAGUUUGUUUGGUGGCAGGUCAAUAAAAAUCAAAUUUGUUUUAUGAUUGUCAAAUCUUCAGAGCAAGCAUGGAAAGUUAGCUGAAUUUUUCCAUAUUGAAAUUCUGAACCAACUAAUAGUAAAUGCAACCGUAGGAUAUUGAAUUUCAGCUUUUGAAGGAUGGCUAGCUUGUUUUCACAGCCUGUGGACACUAACAACGACAAACAGGAUCCUGGACCGUUAAUGCGACUCAUCCUUCAGGCAGCAAAGGACAAAAGUGCUCAGAGUUCCGCGUCAGUGGAAAGUAAACAACCAGAGAGUUCCCAGAGUUCAAAGGUAGUGGAAACAAAAGAACUGGCGAAGGAUCUGAACUGGUACUUGCCACUAUACAAAGCUGCUUUACAAGGUGAUUGGGAGAGUGCCAGAAAAUUCUUCGACCAGGACCCUGAUGCAGUCACUGCUAAAAUUACUAAAGUUUCAGAGACAGCACUACACGUUGCAGUUGGGACGGGAAGGGCCAUUCAUUUUGUCAAGGAAUUGUUAGAGUUGAUCCCAACUGACGCCUUGGCAACUCUGCGGGAUCAAGUUGGUCAGACAGCCCUCCACUAUGCUGCCAUAUUUGGCAAUGUUAAGGCAGCACAGAUAUUAGUGUCCAAGAACCAAGACUUGCCAAAUAUACAUAGUGACACAUUAUUUCUCCCCAUCCAUUCGGCCGCUCUUUAUGCCAACAAAGAUAUGAUUUCAUAUUUAUUAACUGUCACAAAAGAUGACAAGGAUCCCAGUCCCUUCGCAGAUAAAUCUGGUGUAGAUCUUCUGAAUCUUGUUACUCUUGCCGAAUUCUAUGACUUGGCUUUGUAUCUGGUGCAGCUGUAUCCUAGUUUGGCUACACUAAAAUCAGCUGCUGGCAACAAUGCAUUGAACUUGAUUGCUGGAAAGCCUUCACCUUUCCUAAGGAGAAGUUCCCUUAAUGUUUGGCAGCGAUUUCUCUAUUCAUGUGCUGCAGAGAUUUUAUUCAAUUAUGUUUUUUGGUUCCUUAUCCCCUCUGCCCACCAACAAGAAUCUGACCAAAAAACAAAGUCUUAUCCCACUAAUUUGGCAAUUGACUGCUAUCCAUUAUAUAGGUCUGCCUUCGAUGUUUGGGAAUAUAUAUAGCCAAGAAAAUGGAAGAGUCACAAAGAAUCCAGCUGGUGGCCCUCAAAUAUCUUCAAAACUUUGCUGCCAGAUCCCAUUUUCCAGCAAGUUCAAAUUUUCUGGGUGCCAGAAGUUUAAUUUAGUACUUUGGAAGGCUAUCGAAUGCUUAG